rnacentral:rRNA from 1 species
GACGAACGCUGGCGGCGCGCUUAACACAUGCAAGUCGAGCGAGAACCAGUCCUUCGGGACUGGGGACAGCGGCGAACGGGUGAGUAACACGUGGGUAAUCUGUCCUCGGCACCGGAAUAGCCCGGGGAAACCCGGAUUAAUGCCGGAUGGCCUCCCUGCCCCUCAGGGCAGUGAGAAAAGGUAGCUUCGGCCUCCGGCCGAGGAUUAGCCCGCGGCCGAUUAGCUUGUUGGUGGGGUAACGGCUCACCAAGGCGACGAUCGGUAGCUGGUCUGAGAGGAGGAUCGGCCACACUGGGACUGAGACACGGCCCAGACGCCUACGCGAGGCAGCAGUGGGGAAUCUUGCGCAAUGGGCGAAAGCCUGACGCAGCGACGCCGCGUGCGGGAAGAAGGCCUUCGGGUUGUAAACCGCUUUCAGGAGGGACGAAGCCACUCGGGUGAAUAGCCCAGAGGGUGACGGUACCUCCAGAAGAAGCCCCGGCUAACUACGUGCCAGCAGCCGCGGUAACAC